rnacentral:sRNA from 1 species
CAUAAUGGCAUUCUCUAAGAUGACUUUCCCUGAGCAAAG